rnacentral:misc_RNA from 1 species
AAAUAAAAAAUAAAAAUAAAAAUAAAUUAAAGAAAAUGGAUUCGCCCGUCAUCGUGGAUUCAGCAUCCAAAUUCGGACAAGGGAUCCCUUGAUGCGCCGACGCUAAUAAUAAACCUCGGAAAGAAAGAAAGAGUGAGAGAGAAAAAGAGAAUCUUUUCUUAGAGAAAGAGAGAGGGAGAGAGAGAGAGAAAGAGAGCCGACCAACUCUGCCGGUCCAAUCGAGGUCACAAUAGCACCAUCAUGUAUUAUAUGUGUUCUUUCUCACAAAAGAAGGUGCUAGAAACGUUUAGACUAUCGCGCUAUGUUUCCUUCCUUUGAACAUUCGUCUUCUCUUUGGUUCGAUCAAUUUCUUCUUCUCGGGCAUCGUCGAUCGGUACCAGGAUCGUUCGUACAAUUGCCGUAACCGCCGAAAACUUGACGAAAAAAAUAUGGCGAUUAUGAGGCAAUGAAUUUAAUAUCAAGGCGUCAAAUUAUAUUAUUACACCUAAUAGUUUGAAUAUGUAUUUAUAUUUGAUAUGGUUGCAUAGAAAAACAUCGAAACUCAAUAGAGAAGUCAUGUUUGAAUUCUUUGCAUUACGCAAUGUUACAUAAUGAUUGUAAUUACAAGAGAACGAGUGUCAUGCAUCCGUGCAACGAAUAGAUAGACGAUAAGUUCUUUGAUCAAUUACUAUCAUUCUAUCGUAGAAAAUUCUUCAGAAUAUUAUCAAUAUAUUUAAUCAUUCUUCAAAGAGUAAUUUAAGCAAAUCAAAUUGUUUUUAGAAAUUGUGGAUAAGCUUCGAAGGAAAAAAGAUGUCUCUUCCUUUUUUUUUUCUUUCUUUCUUUCUUAUUUCUCGAGGUUAAAUCAAAUUGUUGUUCAAGGACGGCCACCUAGUUUUCUAGUUAGAAUAAUCAUUAUGCCAAAAGAGAGAUGACAUUCACCCAGUUUUACGUGUUUGCGUGACGAGACUAUUUUUGUGCCUUAUUUUCCCUUUUUCCUUUUUUCUCUUUCCUGUAAUUUAAUUUUUGUACUUUUUUGGGUUUUUUUUUUUUAUUCGAGAAACGUGAACAUAAACGUAAACGUAAAACAAGAAACUCUCAAUACCGAGUUAAACGAUAAAUUCUGAUUAAUCUCGAAUAGGUUUCUUUUUUUCCUCGAAAGAAUAUAUACAUGUUCAAUGUCCAGUGGAAGACGCGAGGAUUAUCGUAUAAGUGGUUAUUGCAUUCUUCCUACACACGUUUUCAGUGACGUCAUUAUAGUAUAGACAAACAGUUCGACAGAAGUUACAGUGAAAUCAUUUAGUCGCUUAUAAGGCAAGGAAUGCGAGUAGUGUGUAUUGUCGCUGAUUCUGGGUGCAAACUGAACAUUUAUUCGUCCGCAUAAUCGAAACGUUCGGUUUAUUAAUUUUGUUUACCUCUCUUACCGUUUAUUACUACCGAUUUGAUUUUAAAAUCUAUUGAAACAAAUAUAUUAAACAUUUGAUUAAGACCAACAAAAAAUUGGAUUUUUAAAAAUAUAAUUUAAAAUAUUUUAUUCUAUCAAUUUUGUUAAUUUUUCUUUCAAGUUCAAGGAUAAUGUGUACAGGGAAAGAGUAAAAAUUUUAGCAAAUGCAUAUAUUUCACGAUCGAAAAUGUUUCACGACUAUCUCCACAAUUUUCCGAGACCUUCGCGGUUAAUUUCGAAAUUAGGUAAAUUCCACGAGAUUUUCGUCGACACGGAUCAUAUAAAAGCUUCGACGUUAUAUUUAGUGUUGAGUCACAAGCAGUAUAUUAUCAGCUCAAAACUGCAUUCUCUUCCUUCUAAUAUACAAUUAGUUUUAAUCAUUUUUGUUGCUAAUUCAUCGAAAUGGUUUCAUGAAAAAUAAAACAACAAAAUUUGUAAAGUUGGCAAGAUUGGGUUUGGGCAAAAUUUGAUCCAUUAUUUUAAGUACUCUUAUUUCUUCGAUUACGUUUUAAUAGGUUAACUAAUGGGAUUUACGACUAGAGCCUACAUUUUUCUAUAUAACAUAGGUGUCAUGUCAUGUUAAAAGAUUGU